rnacentral:rRNA from 1 species
UACAGAGGUCUCAAGCGUUGUUCGGAUUCAUUGGGCGUAAAGGGUGCGUAGGUGGCGCGCUAGUCAGGUGUGAAAUUUCGGGGCUUAACUCCGAAACUGCAUUUGAUACUGGCGUGCUUGAGGACUGGAGAGGAGACUGGAAUUCACGGUGUAGCAGUGAAAUGCGUAGAUAUCGUGAGGAAGACCAGUGGCGAAGGCGGGUCUCUGGACAGUUCCUGACGCUGAGGCACGAAGGCCAGGGGAGCAAACGGG